rnacentral:lncRNA from 1 species
UUUUUCCUGUUCAAAUAGGUGAGGCUGCAAAAUGCUGAAGGGGGCACCUCUGUUCCAGAGAAAGGAAAGAAGAAAACUGCGUGACAAAAAUAUGUGGUGGGAAGUAGCACGGGGAAUCUUUGUCGAUUUCCUCUGACCACUUUGAGAAUUGUUUUUCCUUGAAAAGAAGAGAAAAGAAAAGACAACCUACCUAAAAUAUUAAUGCUAUUGUUAGAGUUCUACGAUAAUCUAAAACAGAGUCAUUUUGAAAGAAAAGGUAGGUUUCAUUUCUGGCAGCGGAUCCCCUCCGCUGAUUUACAUAUUCCUUGACAUGAUUCACUAUAUGAAGCGACCUUGAGUUCAUACCACAGAUGGAAAAGAGCGAGUACGGUAAUCAGCUAAGCAUUCGUAAGGACUACCAUCUGAGGUUUGAUUUCGAAUCCGGAGAGAGUGUUUCACACACAUUCCACUGAGCAUGCUGGUCAAAAAUCUCACAUUCCAGAUGCAGCAAGAAUGCAUGCAUUGAGCGCGCGCACGCGCACACACGCGCACACACACACACACACACACACACACACACUGGCCUCCAGACAGCCCCCUGUGCACACAUGUUCUAACACGGUUACAACAGAGCAUGCUCCCAAGCCUUCAAGCUUCCACAGCCCUCAGCCAAGAAGCUGCCCCAGAGAUAGUUGCUCAAGCAGCGGGUCACGGUGGGCUUGACCUCUGAUACCCACAGCUGCCCCAGCGGACUUCCCGGGAGCCCCAGGGGCUCAGAGGAGGCUGAGUGGUAAGGAUGCCGAAAAAGUCCCAAGCAGUCAUGCUGCUUCUCGCCCUUAGUUUUCCUCUCUCUCGUCAUGCCCUGGAGACCGUGAACCUGUUUGGGGCAUUCAGAGAGGCCAUGCUACCCAGUAGUGACAAUAGUUACUAACAAAAUGAUGAACACAACAACAGUUCCGGCAGAACAAGAGGUUUUAAGUUAUCUCACGUUCUUGUCAUUUCCUCGCUUCUUAAAGCAUUUAUUUUGUUUUUCCAUCCUUUUGUUGCAGGUGGCCCACUGUGCUGAAGUCAAGCAGGCCACGCAAAGCUCUGACUUCAAAGCCAUUCCUUGAUAAAACAUCAAAACGGCCCAGGGUGGGCCAGCUGUUAUCUGGAAUUCUACAGAUAAUUCACUGAAACUCGGUGCUCACUAGCCGCAGAGAGUUUCCGCAGCAAGGCCGUUCCCAGGGUCCUGCUUGAUUUUGUUGCCGUGUCUCCUGUGUUUUGUUAGGCAGGGAGAGGGUUGGACCGUCUCUCAAUAAAACUCUGUGUUAGCGCACCGGAGAAACUUGACUCCUGCUUGGCCUCGUAGAGGCCGGAAAUGUGAACUGUGCCCUCCCUGGCCCUGAAGGUGACAUCGUCUUGCUCCUCCUUCUCCACCUGGAAGCACCAGUGACUGCUUUCCCCUGGGCCUUGGUUCGCUUUGGAAGAGCGGUGGCCUGCUUUCCACCAUGAAUAUCAGAAAUAUUGCCUUUUCAACUCUGUGCUGUAAAAUGUGAUGGUACUGCAUCUUCAUGAGGCACAGAGUUCCCCACUUUGGGUUUGCCAGUCCUGUGGGUUCAUUCUGGAGCCCUUCCCUCAUCUCCCAGUCUUCAAACGCCAGCCCAUCUAAUCCCUUUGCUGGAAUCACGCCGAUGGUCUCACCGAUCCUUCCCCCUUGCAUUCUUCCACUUCCCACCUCCAUGCAUUGCCCGAUCAGCAAGCCACAUUUCCCUUUAAAUGUGAAGACUCACCUGAAAGCCCACCACCUCUUCCGAGAAGCCUCCCCUGAUUAAGUGGGGAUGAAGGAGCUUUCGAAGCAUGGCUGACAGACUCCCGAUAAAUGAGAACACACACACACACACACACACACACACACACCCAAAACAAACACAGAAACUCACAAGAAGAGCAAAUUACACAUUCGCCACUUUCGGACAGCACGCUUCUUUGAGGGUAAGGAGAUCAAUUUUAUAGAAAUAACUAAUCAUUUCAGCAGAUGGGGUAUUUUUAGCAUUCUUGGAGGUUAGCAAAACACUGCUGUCCUCUCCCACACCAAUCCGUGUCUUUCCUCAAAUCCCUUCUCCUUUUCUUCUUAGCUUCCUAGAUGCACGUGUGAAGGGGACUGCCACUCGCCGGAUACGGAUGGCACGAAUGACACCGAAGGAAGUGUGUCCUGGCAGUGCUUCCGGGCUGGUGGAUCACACUGCCCAGGAGGACCCUGCAUCUGAGACCAGUAAAUGCCUUAACCACAUAGUGUUCUCGUCAGGGAGCUUUAACGACUCCAUGCCCCCAUCCUUCUUGGGCAAACAUGCUGGGACCAUGGUAAACGUGGAUAAAGGACCAAAACACUCUAGAGAAGGCCCUGCGGAGAGAACGGAGGGCAAGCUUCCUGGCAAGUCUCCACGUUCAGCCUCAACUAAGGCUGCUGGAGGGCAAGGGGAUCUGUAGGGAGCCCUGGAUCGGAGGCAAUCACAUCAGAAGUAGAAGCAGACAUGUUCGAUCUCCAGAAGACCGCCCUCCGGGGCCAGAGUUAAUGCCCCUUGUGGAGGCCUGGGAGACUCAUGGCAUCAAAUGACCAGAACGAGGAGAACACAGACGGAAUGGUGAUAGCUGGCAAUUAGAACAUGGCACCAAACACCACUGCCACAGACGCUUUCUAGCUACAAAGCCACGCUAGGCAACCUUGAAGCAAAACAGUAUCGAUUUUGUGGUUGUAAAAACGUACCUUCAACUGCAGAACUCAGUUUUAUGACACCUUGAAUAAAAACAAAAAGUGGCAGUUAUAUAAUGGACCCAAAUCUCCUAGUCUUCUCAACACACACACAUGCUUCAGACCUAGAGUUUUUGCCGGCAUGUUGAGAGUUUAACUGGACAAGUAACAACUUGGAAAACAAGGUCGUUUUCAGUCCU